AUUGAACGCUGGCGGCAUGCCUUACACAUGCAAGUCGAACGGCAGCACGGGCUUCGGUCUGGUGGCGAGUGGCGAACGGGUGAGUAAUGUAUCGGAACGUACCAUUGAGUGGGGGAUAGCGUAGCGAAAGUUACGCUAAUACCGCAUAUUCUCUCCGGAGGAAAGCAGGGGACCGCAAGGCCUUGCGCUCUUUGAGCGGCCGAUAUCAGAUUAGCUAGUUGGUGGGGUAAAAGCUCACCAAGGCGACGAUCUGUAGCGGGUCUGAGAGGAUGAUCCGCCACACUGGAACGGAGACACGGUCCAGACUCCUACGGGAGGCAGCAGUGGGGAAUUUUGGACAAUGGGGGCAACCCUGAUCCAGCCAUGCCGCGUGAGUGAAGAAGGCCUUCGGGUUGUAAAGCUCUUUCGGCCGGGAAAAAAUCGCAUGGGCUAAUACCCUGUGUGGAUGACGGUACCUGAAGAAUAAGCACCGGCUAACUACGUGCCAGCAGCCGCCGUAA
rnacentral:rRNA from 1 species